CUUUCUACCCUGUGUGAAUGACGACCUGCUGUCUCAGUGCAGCGUGACAAAGACCCUGCCAAAUGAAAGGAAGAUUGUACGCCAUUUAAACACUCCCUAUUGGCCUACUGUCGCCUAGAAGUCAUACAGAUGGACCUAAAUAUGGAUAUCAACAUCUACAGCAAGAUGUACAGGUGAGUCCUCUUGUGACAUUCUUUAAUGUACUUCUAUUUUAUUAUUAAUUCCUAUACACUCUGAACCAAAUUUGUUGAAAAAUAAAGUCAAUCAUGUUCUCUUAUACGCAGACACAACAGAACAGCAGCCUCUACAUGUUGCGAAGCCUACUGCAACAAAAACGUGAUCUUACUGUCUUUGCAACUGAGCACACUCUACCAGCAACACUGACAGCUCACCAGUGGGAGCUGAUAGAUAAGACUGCUCAUGUGCUCUCAUCCAUUGAAGAGCUGACCAGAAACGUGAACAGAAAGACUGCAACUGCACCUGAUGGGAUCCCUGCCAUAACAGAUGUGUUCUGUCCAGUGAAGGCAGUGGAGAAGCCCUACACUGAUGUUGAAACUGUGCCACUCUUCUAGAAACCAGCUACAAGGAUGGCUGUUUUCGCAAAGUCAGCCAACCUCUUGCUUCCAAAUGACCCUUAUCCAGAAGUAUCCGUGAGUACCUCAUCAACAGAAACUAAAGUGGAGACCUACCUCUCAGAGGAAAAACGCACACAUAAGAAAAGCCGACCCACUUCAGUACUGGGAAGAACAUCCUAAUCUGUUUCCCUCUAUGGCUGCUGUUGCGAUCCCAGUGUGCCCCCUGUAGCUCUGUGGACAGUUUUGGAUUUGUUUACAUCUCACCCCAACCGGUCGCGGCAAAUGGCUGAACCUCCCUGAGCCUGGUUCUGCCGGAGGUUUCUUCCUGUUAAAAAGGAGUUUUUCUGAACACACUCUACCAGCAACACUGACGGCUCACCAGUGGGAAGUGAUAGAUAAGACUGCUGAUGUGCUCUCAUCCAUUGAAGAGCUGACCAGAAACAUGAACAGGGAGACUGCAACUGCACCUGAUGGGAUCCCUGCCAAAACAGGUCAUUUGUAUUUUUUUUGCUUCUUACUUUAUAUUGUAACAUUUAUUGAUAUUGUUUGAAACAAACUAUAAUCUCAUCCAUUCAUUAAGUCAUCCAUUCAUUCAUAACUCCUCAGAUGUGUUCUGUCCAGUGAAGGCAGUGGAGAAGCCCUACACUGAUGUUGAAACUGUGCCACUCUUCUAGAAACCAGCUACAAGGAU
rnacentral:lncRNA from 1 species